rnacentral:misc_RNA from 1 species
CUUAGAGUUGUAGGCUUUGCCUGCUAUCUCUUACCCAUGUCUUUUGAGUACCUUCGUUUCUUCGGCGGGUCCGCCCGCCGGUUGGACAACAUUCAAACCCUUUGCAGUUGCAAUCAGCGUCUGAAAAAACUUAAUAGUUA